GAUGAACGCUAGCGGGAGGCCUAACACAUGCAAGCCGAGCGGUAUUUGUUCUUCGGAACAGAGAGAGCGGCGUACGGGUGCGGAACACGUGUGCAACCUGCCUUUAUCUGGGAGAUAGCCUUUCGAAAGGAAGAUUAAUAUCCCAUAAUAUAUUGAACGGCAUCGUUUAAUAUUGAAAGCUCCGGCGGAUAGAGAUGGGCACGCGCAAGAUUAGCUAGUUGGUGAGGUAAUGGCUCACCAAGGCGACGACGGGUAGCCGGCCUGAGAGGGCGACCGGCCACACUGGGACUGAGACACGGCCCAGACUCCUACGGGAGGCAGCAGUGGGGAAUAUUGGGCAAUGGAGGAAACUCUGACCCAGCGACGCCGCGUGCGGGAUGAAGGCC
rnacentral:rRNA from 1 species